GAUGAACGCUGGCGGCGUGCCUAAUACAUGCAAGUCGAGCGAACAGACGAGGAUCUCGCUCGGCUGCAGUUAGCGGCGGACGGGUGAGUAAUACGUGGAUAACCUACCGAUAAGACUGGGGUAAGGUCGGGAAACCGGAUAUAAUACCGGAUAAUAUAUUGAACGGCAGGGAUCAUUAGAGAAAGACGGUUUUGCUGACACUUAUAGAUGUAUCCGAGCCGCAGUAGCUAGUUGGUAAGGUAACGGCUUACCAAGGCAACGAUGCGUAGCCGACCUGUGAGGGUGACCGGCCAAACUGAAAUUGAGACACGGUCAAGACCCCAAGGGAGGGCAGCAGUGGGGAAUUUUGAGCAUUGGGGGAAAGCUUAACGAAGCAACGCGGCGUGGGUGAGGAGGGCCUCCGGAUGGUAAAACCCUGUUAUUGGGGAAAAACAAAUGAGUAAAUAACCAUGCUGGUUUGACGGGAACAAAAGAAGAAGCCCACGGUAACCUACGG
rnacentral:rRNA from 1 species